rnacentral:misc_RNA from 1 species
GAUGAAGAACGCAGCGAAAUGCGAUACGUAAUGUGAAUUGCAGAAUUCAGUGAAUCAUCGAGUCUUUGAACGCACAUUGCGCCCCCUGGUAUUCCGGGGGGCAUGCCUGUCCGAGCGUCAUUGCUGCCCUCAAGCACGGCUUGUGUGUUGGGCCUCCGUCCUCCUCCCGGGGGACGGGCCCGAAAGGCAGCGGCCGCACCGCGUCCGGUCCUCGAGCGUAUGGGGCUUCGUCACCCGCUCUUGUAGGCCCGGCCGGCGCUUGCCGACACAUCAAUCUUUUUUCCAGGUUGACCUCGGAUCAGGUAGGGAUACCCGCUGAACUUAAGCAUAUCAAUAAGCGGAGGA